rnacentral:ncRNA from 1 species
GUUAAAUCAAUGACUGAGAGAGUAGAUAAAGGGAUUGUUUUUCAGCAAGCUAGGGACGCUGCAAGCCUAGUAAACACCUUUCAUUGAACCGCACUCAUGAGUUGUUACGUUGAACUACAGUAGGCGUAUCCGGAAAUGAUCCCGUUAUCGAUAAGAGUGGCAAUCUUAUUUGCAACUGGAGUGGUACCACGGGAAAACUCGUCUCCUUU